rnacentral:rRNA from 1 species
UACGUAGGGGGCUAGCGUUGUCCGGAUUUAUUGGGCGUAAAGAGCGUGUAGGCGGCCAUGUAGGUCCGGUGUGAAAACUCGAGGCUUAACCUCGAGAUGUCAUCGGAAACCAUUUGGCUAGAGUCCGGAAGAGGCGAGUGGAAUUCCUGGUGUAGCGGUGAAAUGCGCAGAUAUCAGGAGGAACACCAAUUGCGAAGGCAGCUCGCUGGGACGUUACUGACGCUGAGACGCGAAAGCGUGGGGAGCAAACAGG